UAUCUUCUGUUGAUUCACCUCCUUUUUCGAACACUCACUUACGUGUAUUUCUUUGGCACACAUUGCACCCAAACGACUUGACGAGGCAGCUGUCUGACCGUCGACGAUUAACGAAAGACUACGAUACUAUUUUUUUCAGUCGGAAAAUAUUUAAUGAUUAUCGUGCAUACACCAUGUGCCUUUUUUGAGCGCAAUAAUAGCCUAAAGUAAGUCGUUUGCUCGCCGCCGGUCAGACUUGAGCCUAAACAUGUGACGUUUCAUGUGAUCCUUGUAUUCGUUUUAGUUGUAGAACACCUAGGUCUAAGUAAAAUAUUAGAUGAAUUUAUUGGAAUUGAAUCUGUUAAUACUAGUUUCAUAAUAUCAGCAGCACAGUUACACAGGUCCGAGUGAUCUUUAUCAAAGAGCUUGUAGCAUAAAAACUUUACAUUUUUGUAAUCUUCUUUCAUCAAAUUGUGUUGCAGCACUGUGAACCAAACUCAUUUCUUAGUAGGAUUUACUUUUUCAAACAUGUAGUACCUAAACGUUUAUGUACUUCUUAAGAUUCAUAACCCUUUGAAUACUUGGCAUUAUAAACUAAAAUGUUACACAUAUAGGCCUAGGUCACGAGCGCAACUAUAGUGGAAAUCUUACUUGAAAGUGUGGAGGUUACUUAUACAAUGUAUGGUCAACCAAUUUGCAUCCUAUUUCACUUUAGAACCCUGUCUCAUUGAAUCCGUGCUUCGUUUGCAAUAGAAAUCACUUUGAUGUUUACUGUGAAAAGGUUUUAUGGUGGCCUAGGACUCAAAUUGGUGAACUAUACACCACAGAACUUAUAAGUGUUUUUAGCUCUGUGGGCAUGGCUAGUAAUGUCCCCUUUAGGUGAUCUUGGCGUUCAAAAGGUUAAUAUUAAAGUUAAUUUAAGUGACCAUAUGUAUGUAAUAACAAUAUUUCAACUAGAAUAAAAUAACAAUAAUGUGUAAUGUUGUAGUGCUGAUAGUGUUUGCUGUAAUAUUCCAUGUUACCAAAAAUAUAAAAUUGUUGUUAGUUUAAUUGAUUGUUAAUGUAUGUAUAGAUUUCUUUUAGGUGUAAGAUAUAGUUAUUCCUGGUUGAGAAAUUGGGAAGUUUAUUUUUACAUGUAAAACAAGAGUACGAUUUUAUUUUUGUGUAAGACCAAUAUGCAAUAAUACAUAUCUAUAUAAGAAA